GCGGCAGGCCUAACACAUGCAAGUCGAGCGGUAACAUUUCUAGCUUGCUAGAAGAUGACGAGCGGCGGACGGGUGAGUAAUACUUGGGGAUCUGCCUGAUGGCGGGGGACAACCACUGGAAACGGUGGCUAAUACCGCAUAAUGCCUACGGGCCAAAGUGUGGGACCUUCGGGCCACAUGCCAUCAGAUGAACCCAAGCGAGAUUAGCUAGUUGGUGAGGUAACGGCUCACCAAGGCGACGAUCUCUAGCUGUUCUGAGAGGAUGAUCAGCCACACUGGGACUGAGACACGGCCCAGACUCCUACGGGAGGCAGCAGUGGGGAAUAUUGGACAAUGGGCGCAAGCCUGAUCCAGCCAUGCCGCGUGUGUGAAGAAGGCCUUCGGGUUGUAAAGCACUUUCAGUGGUGAGGAAGGCGUUGUAGUUAAUAGCUGCAACGAUUGACGUUAGCCACAGAAGAAGCACCGGCUAACUCCGUGCCAGCAGCCGCGGUAAUACGGAGGGUGCGAGCGUUAAUCGGAAUUACUGGGCGUAAAGCGCACGUAGGCGGCUUGUUAAGCAAGAUGUGAAAGCCCAGGGCUCAACCUUGGAAUUGCAUUUUGAACUGGCAAGCUAGAGUUUUGAAGAGGGUGGUAGAAUUUCCAGUGUAGCGGUGAAAUGCGUAGAUAUUGGAAGGAAUACCAGUGGCGAAGGCGGCCACCUGGUCAAAAACUGACGCUGAGGAGCGAAAGCGUGGGGAGCAAACAGGAUUAGAUACCCUGGUAGUCCACGCCGUAAACGAUGUCAACUAGUUGUUCGUGUCUUUGAGACGUGAGUAACGCAGCUAACGCACUAAGUUGACCGCCUGGGGAGUACGGCCGCAAGGUUAAAACUCAAAUGAAUUGACGGGGGCCCGCACAAGCGGUGGAGCAUGUGGUUUAAUUCGAUGCAACGCGAAGAACCUUACCAUCCCUUGACAUCCAGAGAAUUUUCUAGAGAUAGAUUAGUGCCUUCGGGAACUCUGAGACAGGUGCUGCAUGGCUGUCGUCAGCUCGUGUUGUGAGAUGUUGGGUUAAGUCCCGCAACGAG
rnacentral:rRNA from 1 species